GCCUUCGUGGUGCAGUGGUCAACACGCUUGGCGCUUAUUCGAGAGGUCCGUGGUUCGAGUCCCGGUGACGGCG
rnacentral:tRNA from 1 species